rnacentral:lncRNA from 1 species
CAAGGGGGAGGGGGCCGGCGCGGCCGCUGCCGGCGGUCAUUGACAGAGCCUCGUAAUGGGCGCCCAAAUUCGUUUACUCGCGAAUUGCGUAAGCGGCCCUCCCCGUACAGGUCAGCGCGAAUUACGCGGGCUUGUUGCCUGCCGCCUCGGAGCUGGGCCCACCGCUACAGCCUCAGUUCCCACCACUCCCCGCCUUGCACUUGAUGCUCCGGCAACGUUGAACUGUUUUCUCUCCUUGCUUUUGCUGACGCUGGCCCGCCUGCCUGGCUUGCCUUCCGCCUACCUUUGCCCGACUGAUUCCACUAGCCCUUUAAGGCUCGGAUCUGUUACCUUACCCAGCAGCUACCCCUCCCCACCAGUAGAUGCUCUCUUCUGGGCUCCUUGGCUUCCUGUUUACACCUCUGUGACUGCGCUUGGUUUUACACAUGGUUUUGUUUACCUUUCUUCAAGUUUCUUGAAGCUAGGGGCAAUGGCAGAAGUAAUGCCUUGCCCUCAAAGAGCUUUCCAUCUCAUUAGAGAAAGAAGGCUAGCCGUAGAACCAUGGACCUGCUACAGGAGAAUCAAGGUAGCAUACUUUCAGGAGCUGAUUUGGAUGAUACACAGAUGAUACAAAGAUGGUGAGAACAGGAUCUGGGUCCACUGGGGUCAAGGAACUGUGACAGCCUUGGUGAUGUGCUGCCAGCUUUAAUCAGGAUUCCUGGCUGAUUUGUGGAGUAAAAGUCUUUAGCCAAACAAUAUUGCUACAUUUUCACAGAUUAAAGGAUGGGUGACUUCCAAAGGGUCAUUGGUGCCCUUUCCUACGACACACACAUUUCAGUAGACCUGCUGUCUGGUUAUGGAGGUGGAGGGUGGAGAGUGGGGGAGGCUGCUUAGAACGCAGCAGAACUUGGAUAUUUCAUGCUACAGUCAUGGUGGGUACAUCUGUUACAAACUAAGUAUCUUCUGAAUUCAAAUCCCAUUUAGUUUCACUUUGACUUUGCUGAUCUGUGGACUGUGGCACACUGAAUGUCAAAGAAGGAAGUAAACAUCUUUGGCCAGAUUUUGUUUUUAACUACUCAGAAGGGAAGUGAUAGGAUGAGUUGGAAGGAAAGUGCAUAGAAUUGAAUGUCGGAAGCCAUGGGUUCUGGAUCUUAGACUCCUCAUCUGUAAAGUGAGUGGGUUGGCCUGGGUGGUCUUUAAGGUUCCUUCUGGCUCUAACAUUCUACACUUUUAGGAUUUUAAUUCCUGGUUGACAUUUGGCUAAGCAGAAGACACCGGAUGAGAGACCAGCUUAUUAAAGAACAUCUCUCUAGGGACGACUGGCGUGAGCACUGGCCUGGGAGUCUGAAGAUUGUGCCUUUAGAUUCUCUUCAUCACGAAAGCUGGUGACUUUCGGCAAUCACCUAGCUUCUCGGGGACUCAUUUUCCUUAUGUGUGUGAAUACUAAGAAGGGAUUAGAUGAGGUGAUCUGUUGAAGACCCUUCUGGUUCUUAAUUUCUAGUUGUCAGACUUAAGCACGGUUUAAUGGCUAGGUAAAGAGCUCUGACCUUGGAGUCAAUUUAUGGCUUCCAGUCCAAGCUCUGCCACUCACUAGCUAUGUAUGAUCUUUCCUCGGCUCCUCUGCACCUUGUUUCCUUCUCUGUUAAAUAAGGAUAUCUGCUCUGUUCACUUCAGAAGACUCUUGCAGAGGUUAAAUGUGUGUGAGAGAACUCGCUAAACUUUAACGUGCUAUAUACAUUUUAAGAGGUAUUAGUUGCUGCUUCAGACGUUGAUCAGCUGAGAUAAAUCUUCAAGGUGUCACUUGGGAGAAGCCUGGCCCUGAAAUGAAGCAGGCAGCUAGCUGGAAGUUGACUUUGUGAGUUCUCCCGCUUGGGACUUCUGGAGGCAGAGGAGCCUUGGCACUUUGGGGGGUGGGCGGUGCAUUUACAAAGCAGUCUGGGGAGUAAGCAAGGAACCAGGCCACAGCUCAGCAAGAAGGGAGGCCUGCAGUAAGGACAGAGUGGUAUGGUGGAUGUCACAGGCCGUGGUCCUCAAGGACCUGCCUUCGCCUCUCUUCUGGGGCGUCGGGUGGACGAGAGAAGGAAAAUGGCAAAUUGUUAAAAAGUACACAUGUGUAGAAAGUAGUAAAACUGUAAGGCUCUCUUAUGUAUUGUUGGAUUCUUGGAAAUUCAUAUUUUCUUCUAUGUAUUUUCCAAAUUUUCUAUAAUGAAUAUGUAUUUUUUGAAUCCGAAAAAUAAAAAUUAAAAAAAUUGGAGGAGAUCGUUUUUACAAAUGUGGGUUCUUCUUUUUCUGCUGUUAUUUCUCAUUUGAUUAAAGAAAUAAUAAAAGUUAUUGAAAUUAGGAUAUGUCUUGUCUUCCAAAUCACUGUUAGAUUUUUAUGCUUUUCAACCAAUAUGUUUUUAUAGUUUGAAG